rnacentral:rRNA from 1 species
CCUACGGGUGGCUGCAGUGAGGAAUAUUGGUCAAUGGGCGAGAGCCUGAACCAGCCAAGUCGCGUGAGGGAAGACGGACCUAUGGAUUGUAAACCUCUUUUGUCGGGGAGCAAAAAGGCCUCGUGAGGCCACAAGUGAGAGUACCCGAAGAAAAAGCAUCGGCUAACUCCGUGCCAGCAGACGCGGUAAUACGGGGGAUGCGAGGGUUAGCCGGAUUUAUGGGGGUUAAAGGGUGCGUGGGCGGACUGGAAAGUCAGCGGGAAAAUCGGGCGGCUCAACCUCUUUCCGCCGUUGAAACUGUCGGUCUUGAGUGGGCGAGAAGUAUGCGGAAUGCGUGGUGUAGCGGUGAAAUGCAUAGAUAUCACGCAGAACUCCGAUUGCGAAGGCAGCAUACCGGCGCCCGACUGACGCUGAGGCACGAAAGCGUGGGUAUCGAACAGGAUUAGAUACCCGUGUAGUC